rnacentral:rRNA from 1 species
AUUGAACGCUGGCGGCAUGCUUUACACAUGCAAGUCGAACGGCAGCGCGGGCUUCGGCCUGGCGGCGAGUGGCGAACGGGUGAGUAAUGCAUCGGAACGUGCCCAGUAGUGGGGGAUAGCCCGGCGAAAGCCGGAUUAAUACCGCAUACGACCUGAGGGUGAAAGCGGGGGACCGAAAGGCCUCGCGCUAUUGGAGCGGCCGAUGUCGGAUUAGCUAGUUGGUGGGGUAAAGGCUUACCAAGGCGACGAUCCGUAGCUGGUCUGAGAGGACGGCCAGCCACAAGGGGAAGGGGACACGGCCCAGACUCCGACGGGAGGCAGCAGUGGGGAAUUUUGGACAACGGGGGCAACCCUGAUCCAGCCAUGCCGCGGGCGGGAAGAAGGCCUUCGGGUUGUAAACCGCUUUUGUUCGGGAAGAAAUCCUCUGGGCCAAUACCCCGGGGGGAUGACGGUACCGGAAGAAUAAGCACCGGCUAACUACGUGCCAGCAGCCGCCGUAA